rnacentral:lncRNA from 10 species
GAACAUUUUAAACAGUGAAAUAGAUUUGUGCAUUUAGAAGCAUUGCUUUGGUUAUACCAUAGGGGAUGGAUUGGUGAAGAUGAGAAGAGAGUUUGGGAGUAACAGAAAACCCUCAAGGUCUCAGAUGGGUGGCCUGACUAUAGUGUUGGCACUGAGAUUGAAAAGCAGAAAAAGUUAUUAGGACUAAUCUUUUGGCAUAUUUUACCUUAUAGAAUAGAGGUUGGCAAGUUUUUUGUAAAGAGCCAUAAUAUUUUUUAAAAGCCUAAAUAUUAGGGCUUUGAGGGCCAUUCUGCUUGUAUUGCAGCUAUUCACCUGUGUCUUGAGCGCAAAAGCAGCCAUAGACUGUAGGCAAACAAAUGAGUGUGGUUGUAUUCUAAUAAAGCUUUAUUUAUGAAAUCAGUUGGGGGUCUAGAUUUUGCUCACAGGCCCUUCUAGGCUAGCGUAUCCAGUGGUGAAGAUUAAUAGCUCAAGCAAUGGCUAGAGUAAGAUGAUAAUAUAGGUGAGGGAUUGUAGGGAUAAGAAGGAAAGAGGAGCAGGGGAGGAAAGAACCCUGAGGAACCAAAUCAUAUUAGGAGAAGAGGUGAAAAUGGUACUGAGGGAGUCUGUAGGAAGCUUAGCAGGAAAAUGGUGUAUAAGAACUUAGGGAGGAGAGUUUCCUGAAGGAGGGGCAGUAAUUGCAGUAUCAAAUGCUACAGAGAGGAGAGGCAUGAUGAGACCUUACAAUAAGCCAUUCAUUGUAUUUGCUCUUUGGGGGCCAGUGAGAAGGGAAAACUGAGGGUGGUGGAGGCUGGAAGCUAGAUCAUGAUGAGCUAAGGAGUGAGUUGGAGUUGAGCUAUUUAGACUAGUUAGAGCUUUGAUUUAAAUAUUUGGUAGUCAUGGGAAGGAGGAAUCACAGGUUAGCUUGAGGAAGACGUAGGGUGGAAAGAAGGCUGUUCGUUUGUUUUUUAUUUGUUAAGAAGGGUGGUGUUGACUAGGCUAAACUGAAGAAGCCAGAGCAAAAGAGACCUGAGGACUUGGUUAGAAAAGGAACAAACGACUGAGCCUAGAUAGAGUAAGUAGGGAGUUGUUGGGGAAGGGAAUAAGAAAUAUAAGAGAUGUGUGAGAUGUGGAGAGAUCUUGAAGCAGCCUCAGGUGGAAAGGACUUGAAGUACAGGCAGAAAUGAGGAUGGGCUGCAUUAGGGGUAGGGAAACUGGAACAAAUUAUACUUAGUGGCCUCUAUUUUCUUUGACAACGUUAACUAUAGAGAAUGAAGGGUCUAAGAGGUAAUACUUGAAGGAAAGGUGUUUCAGGGUAAGCAAAAUAGGAUUUAUAUAGGAAUGAAGGCCCAGCUGAGGUAAGUACUGUACUAGAUUGUUAUUUUGGUAACAGUAAUGAACAAUUUUCAGUUAAUUAUAUAAGAUUUAGCUAUGAAUGCAUUCUGGAUUUUAGUUAGAAUUGUUAAACCAAAUUCAAAGUGUGGAAGUCAUUCAGUUGAAUUGUUAAAAAAAAAAAAUGGAACUAGCAGGAACGUUGGAAUUUAAUGAGUCCAACUCCUUUUUCACAGAUGUGAAAAUUUAAGGCGUAGAAAAAUAAUGAAUGUUGUCCACUCAUCUAGUUGGUAACCAGGUUUUCUGAUUUCAGAAAAUCAAAAAUCACUUGUUUUUAAUUAUGUGUUUUAUCAUAACACACUUAACAAAAAUUCUGGCUGGGCACAGUGGCUCACACCUGUAAUCCCAGCACUUUGGAAGACAGAGGAGGGAGGAUUGCUUGAGACUAGGAGUUCAAGACCAGCCUAGGCAAUACAGUGAGACCUCAUCUCUACACAAAAUUUAAAAAGUAGGCAAGCAUGGUGGUUCACAACCGUAGUCCCAGCUUGGGAGGCUGAGGUGGGAGGAUCUCUUUAGUCCAUGAGGUGGAGGCCACAGUGAGCUGAGAUUGUACUGUCUCAGAAAAAACAACAACAAAAAAACAAAAGCUCUCUUUUAUAAAACUUUCAAACAUAUGUAAAAGUAGAGAGAAUAAUAUAUUGAACUCCCAUGUGGCAUUUUAAAACAAUUAUAAUUUAUGGUCGUUUGUGUAAUUUAUAUCUUGUUAAAAGAAAGUCCUUAGUCAAAUUAAAGAGUUCAACUGAGCAAAGAAUGAUUCGUGAAUAGGGCAGCCUCCUGAGCCACAGUAUGUUCAGAGAGACUCCAGCACAGCCAGGUGGUGGAAGAAGAUGUAUAGACAGAGGUACAGAAACAGUCAGAUUGGUUACAGCUCGGCAUUUGCCUUAUUUGAACAUGGUUUGAACAGUUGGCCCCUUUUAACUGGCCAAAACUUGGUGAUUGGCACAAAAGUAGGUUACAGUCUGUUUACACCUCCAUUUAGAUACAUUUAUAGUUCACUAUGUACAGAGAAACCUUUAGACUGAACUUCAAAUAUGUAAGGAGACUGCUUUAGACUAAACUUGAUUUAACAAUCUCUACCCACUUCUACUCUUCCCUGCAUUAUUUUGAAGCGUCAUCUAUCAGUAUUAUGUUUCAUCUGCCAAAAUUUUAACAUGUAUGCCUAAAAGGUAAGACAUAUGGUAGUUUCAGUGUUUUUUCUCCUUUUAAAACAUAAACCACAAUAUGGGUUAAUGUGGAUUAUGUGGGCUAAGCAGGUUGAUGUGGGUUAAUGUGGGUUAUGUGGGCUAAGCAGGUUGAUGUGGUUAAUUUUUAACUUCCAAAGAUGUUUAUAAGUUAUUAUGAGUAGACUUUUUGGAAUAAAGGUUUCCUCAUAUUGCAGUAUUUUGGAAAGUGAUUUUACUAAAAAAUAAUACGGGCCAGGCAUGUGGCUCAUGCCCGUAAUCUCAGCACUUUGAGAGGCCUAGGUGGGAGGACUGCUUGAAGCCAGGAGUUCUAGACCAGCCUGGGCAACAAAGUGAGACCCUACCUCUACAAAAAAUACAAAAAAAAAAAAAAA